rnacentral:rRNA from 1 species
UACGGGGGGAGCAAGCGUUGUUCGGAUUUACUGGGCGUAAAGGGCGCGUAGGCGGCGUGACAAGUCACUUGUGAAAUCUCCGGGCUUAACCCGGAACGGUCAAGUGAUACUGUCGUGCUAGAGUACAGAAGGGGCAACUGGAAUUCUCGGUGUAGCGGUGAAAUGCGUAGAUAUCGUAAGGAAGACCAGUGGCGAAGGCGGGUCUCUGGACAGUUCCUGACGCUGAGGCACGAAGGUCAGGGGAGCAAACGGG